GAUGCAGAAAACAUGUUUAUUGAAGCCUUGAGUUUUAAAGUCCCUUUCAAUGAUUUGGCACACAGAGAGAAGAGCUGGCAGGAGUCAAGCAUCCCAUGCUGGACAUGUUCCCCCAAAGCACAAUUUUGGUGGAAAAGAAUCAGAGUUCUCUGCACAAAGAAGAGUGGGGCUGACCUUCCUGAUGCCAGCAGGUCAAGGAUACUGAGGGAGGCAUCCCUACUUGGAUUUCCUAGGGGCCUGCCUAGCCUCCUGAUGAUAGCACUGCAGUCAGCCAUGCUUUAUGUCCAGCAGAGGGCCUUCUAGAGGGGUCAUCACAGAGUGCUGCUUCAUCUCUCUCCACAGCAGGUGAGAGGCCUCCUAUCAUGACCUCGGUCCUCCUCCUUAGGUCAGGUUGAGGUGUGAGCACCUGCCGGCCUCACCAACCCCAUGCCUCACCUACCCACCAAGCCCCCUUUGCCCUCACCACUGCCAGGCCUCAUCUUCCU
rnacentral:lncRNA from 1 species